rnacentral:rRNA from 1 species
GAGUUUGAUCGUGGCUCAGAACGAACGCUGGCGGCAGGCUUAACACAUGCAAGUCGAGCGCCCCGCAAGGGGAGCGGCGGACGGGUGAGUAACGCGUGGGAAUCUACCUAGCUCUACGGAAUAACCCAGGGAAACUUGGACUAAUACCGUAUACGCCCUCCGGGGGAAAGGAUUUAUCGGAGUUGGAUGAGCCCGCGUUGGAUUAGCUAGUUGGUGGGGUAAGUGGCCUACCAAGGCGACGAUCCAUAGCUGGUCUGAGAGGAUGAUCAGCCACAUUGGGACUGAGACACGGCCCAAACUCCUACGGGAGGCAGCAGUGGGGAAUAUUGGACAAUGGGCGAAAGCCUGAUCCAGCCAUGCCGCGUGAGUGAUGAAGGCCCUAGGGUUGUAAAGCUCUUUCAACGGUGAAGAUAAUGACGGUAACCGUAGAAGAAGCCCCGGCUAACUUCGUGCCAGCCGCCGCCGU